GACGAACGCUGGCGGCGUGCCUAAUACAUGCAAGUCGAGCGGACAGACGGUAGCUUGCUCCCUUAUGUUAGCGGCGGACGGGUGAGUAACACGUGUGUAACCUGCCUUUAAUACUGGGAUAACUCCGGGAAACCGGGGCUAAUACCGGAUGGUUGUCUGAACCGCAUGGUUCGGACAUAAAAGUUGGCUUCGGCUACCACUUACGGAUGGACCCGCGGCGCAUUAGCUAGUUGGUGAGGUAACGGCUCACCAAGGCAACGAUGCGUAGCCUGCCUGAGAGGGUGAGCGGCCAAACUGGGACUGAGACAAGGCCCAGACUCCUAAGGGAGGGAGCCGUAGGGAAUCAUCCGCAAUGGGCGAAAGUCUGACGGCGCAACGCCGCGUGAGUGAUGAAGGUCUUCGGAUCGGAAAGCUCUGUUGUUAGGGAAGAAAAAGUGCCGGUCAAAUAGGGCGGCACCUUGACGGUACCUAAACAGAAAGCAACGGCUAACUACGUG
rnacentral:rRNA from 1 species